GACCAAGUGAUGGAACUGGUAUACAUCUUGGACUUAAAAUCCAAGGCUUGAAAUAUAGAUUGAGGGUUCAAACCCCUCCUUGGUCACCA
rnacentral:tRNA from 1 species